CAUUUCCCCACCUCCUGCUCUUCAAAAUUCUGCAUGUGGCUGAGGAGCUGUUCCUUGUGGCCUCUGUGUGGUGUCGGCAUGCACAUGGCAUGCAUCCAGCCACGUGCAGAGGCUGCAGGGAACAGCACCGCCGCUGUGCGUGAUGUUUUGGAGAGCGGGCACCACUGCCAGAACAGCAGAGCGGGAAGGAGCAGGUAAGGAGCUUCUUACUUGAUUGUAAACGGAACUGCUUCCCGCCCCGCCGAGCCAGUUCGAACCCUGGCACCCGAGCAGGUUCGGCGCUUCCCAAAGGAAGUGCUGAACCAGCUUGUGUACAUCUCUAGAUCCAGUAGGGCCAGCACAAUAUUGAUUCAUCAUAAGGGUGCCCCCCAUAACUAUUAUUGUCUUGGAUCCUGUAAAAUCCAGAGAUCUAGUCUUCCUGGUCCUAGGAAUUUUGGUGCUUUAGGUGAAGUAUGACUUUGGUGCUUCCCCCUACACAUUCAUGUGCAUUGGCCAGGUUAGCUUGUGGGGGAGUGGGGAAGAUAGGGUGUGCGGUAGAGUGGACUUCACGUGGAGCUGGAGAGCAGCAAGGGACAACAGUGGCAGAUUUAUGGAUUUUGAAAGGUAUAACCUCCUUUCUCACCACACCCUCGCUCCCAGCCAAUGCUGCCCUAGCUGCCAUGCAAAUGGAGGCUAUUCGCGGUGGGGGCAGUUGUGCCUGCCCCUGCCCUGCAAAGCUCCCCCCCCCAUUGGUGCCCAAGACAAUCACCUAGGUCCAGCUAGUGGACAGGCCAGCCCUGGCUUCUAGAUAAUUUUGCAAAGGAUUGCAGCCCAAGUCUUUUUUUCUGCUCAGGUGACUCCAACCUCUGCUAACUGGGCAAAGAGGCACCUUUUACUGUGGUGAUUCUCUUUAUUUAGCAGGGGGAGAGUACUUCCAGUGACUGUUGCUGGUGUCUAUCUUAUGUUUCGUUUUAGAAUGUGAGCCCUUUGGGGACAGGGAACCAUCUUAUUUAUUUAUUAUUUCUCUGUGUAAACCGCCCUGAGCUAUUUUUGGAAGGGCGGUAUAGAAAUCGAAAUAAUAAUAAUAAUAAUAAUAAUAAUAAUAAUAAUAAUAAUAAUAACAAUUAAAAAUAAAUAAAUAAACAACAUGGAGAAAUGUGAAGUCAUGUGUAGUCUCUUGUCUAUGUACUGACAUAGGCUUUUCAGAGAGCUAGAGGUGGUUUUGCAGAGCUGUUGUUGCCUGCUUAUUUUUGUACCCCAUCAUGUUCUCUUGUCCAAAUGGUUUUGCAGGCAUGUGUAUCACUUUGUGCAGUACCUAGAAAGCCACAGCUUGAGCUAACUCCCAGCAGUGUAAUCAGCACAAAAUGAGCAUAAAAGGGUCAUGAAUACAAAGUGAAUUUACUUAGUAAAUUAAAUCUUCACAGUAGUUUGCUUAGUUAUUCAAAAAGCUGCAACAUCAAUAAUUUAAGGUACAACAAGAAAGUCGGCAACACAAAAUAUUUUUUCUGUUGAAGAAGAUGCUUUAGUUCUUUUCAGUACUUCUAAAUGGCAGGGAUGUGUUUUAGCUGUGCCCAAAAGGUAAAUAUAAAGGUGGGCUGUAAAUUCUAUUAUUAUGGUUACUGUGAUUUAUUUUCACUAUGUAUAAAGCAUUUCUUCCUUAUUACUCUUCCAAGAUUUGCAUAAUAAAUCUACAUUACUGAAGUAAAGAGAUAUUGGCUGACAUGAAGGACAGCAUUCUGGCAUUGGAAUGCUCCGUGCUGGGUCUGCGGCAGACUCAUAAGGCAGCUCCAAGCUUUUGAGAAUGAGCAGUUGCUAGCUGAGGGUGUGUACAGUGCAGACGCCAGAACUGACCACGGACAUGGCCGCUACGCAAGCUCGGUGGCCAUGUGCAUCCCACCACUGCACGCAGGCUGCUGGGUGAAGUCCUGCGGCCAUGCAUAGACUUCUGAGCAGUGCAGCACCACGCCCGGAAAAGCGGCGGGGCAGCAGAGGAGCAAGCAAGGACCUGCUUUAUUCAUGCUUAAAGUUAAGGUUGGCUUCCUGUUCAAUUACUUAUACAGGAUAAGUAAUAUCUCUGCAAUAUUGGGUUAUGGGCCCAUUUGUGAAGCAAUAAGUUGUGAGAUAACAAAGAGUCUGUAGACAAGACAGCUGGACAAGAUGACUAUUUUUGCAUCUGUGGGAAGGCAUCCCGCAGUUGCUGAAUGAAAUAAACUACAGAAAAUGGUCCUUCAGAGUGAAGAUGUUGCUGAAUACACCUGGACUGUCUUAUGUUCUGGAGGAACAAAGACCAACAGAGAAAGAAAAGAAAUUGUGAGAGUGGGAUUCUGCAAACAAGCAAGCCAAGGGGCACAUAUAUCUGACUAUGUUUUCUAUUGUGUGGUUGGGAGUCGCCCAGAGAACCAUUUGUUACGAGGUGGAUAACAAAUAAAAUUGGCUUUAUUAAGAAGAAGAAGAAGAAGAAGAAGAUGAUGAUGAUGAUGCACAAUUACUUUAAAGCACUACAAGGCAGCAGUGCAGCACUCCUUUCCGUCGUUUCCAUACAGCCCGCCACUAUUUGUCUCAUUAACAAUAGCUUUUGGCUGUGAUUUGGGGACCCUAUGAUCCCAAUGGCAUCAAAAAGCUCCCUCAUGCAAAUGAGUUAGUGUUUCUGCAUUUAAUUGAAAAUCUCAGCAGCGUUGUAAAACUGUACCCAUAUGCAGAGAUCUAAUAAAUAACACACUAGAUAUUAAAUUCUA